GGAGCAAUCCAUGAGUAAAGUGGCGCACGGGUGAGUAACACGUGAAUUAUCUACCUCCGAGUGGGGAAUAACUGAGAGAAAUCUUAGCUAAUACCGCAUAACACUUACGAGUCAAAGCAGCAAUGCGCUUGGAGAGGAGUUCGCGGCCGAUUAGCUAGUUGGCGGGGUAAUGGCCCACCAAGGCGAUGAUCGGUAUCCGGCCUGAGAGGGCGCACGGACACACUGGAACUGAAACACGGUCCAGACUCCUACGGGAGGCAGCAGUGGGGAAUUUUGCGCAAUGGGGGAAACCCUGACGCAGCAACGCCGCGUGGAGGAUGAAAUCCCUUGGGAUGUAAACUCCUUUCGAUAGGGAAGAUAAUGACGGUACCUAUAGAAGAAGCCCCGGCUAACUUCGUGCCAGCAGCCGCGGUAAUACGAGGGGGGCAAGCGUUGUUCGGAAUUAUUGGGCGUAAAGGGUGCGUAGGCGGUUUGACAAGUCUUAUGUGAAAUCUAUGGGCUCAACCCAUAGUCUGCAUGGGAAACUGUCGGGCUUGAGUAUGGGAGAGGUGAGUGGAAUUUCCGGUGUAGCGGUGAAAUGCGUAGAUAUCGGAAGGAACACCUGUGGCGAAAGCGGCUCACUGGACCAUUACUGACGCUGAUGCACGAAAGCUAGGGGAGCAAACAGGAUUAGAUACCCUGGUAGUCCUAGCCCUAAACGAUGAUUGCUUGAUGUGGCAGGUACCCAAUCCUG
rnacentral:rRNA from 1 species